UCGCUACAUAGCACUUCUUUCCCUCUCUUUUACUUUUAUUAAAAUAAAAAACACCUUUUGACACUUUUUCAUUGUAACUUUGAACAAGGUUUUAAACUCAUGGUAUCUUAAGUAUGUAACCUAUUGAACCAGCAUUAGUUUUUUCCAAUUGCUAACACACUAAAAUGACAUGCACAGCACAAUUAUUUAAACUGACAGACAGAGAGCAAAACUUCUUCUCAAGUCUCCAAAAGUCUAAACACAUUUUCUGCUUUACACACAUUUUGCAUUUCAAAAUGGCACUUUUUAAAAGCACAGAACAAUGUUCUCUGCAUAAGACACAACAAUCUGACAUAAAGUCACGUUUGCCAUUUCAAAACACAGCCAUUCAAAAUGACACUACAUGAGCUAAUUGGCCAAUUACAUGUGCCACCUGGCCAAACACCUCAAUGGUUAAUUAACUCUUCAAUCAGGAUGUAAGCACUAUGAAAAGACCACAGGUGAGAACCUUUUGUUUUUUUUACAACAACAAUGGAAGACAUUGCAGAGAGAGGAAGAGGAAGAGGGAGGUUGAGAAUAAGAGUGGGAGGAAGAGUGAGAGGUAGGGGUAGAGCAGGUAGAGGAGUUCAUGGCCAAAGAAGACAAACAUUUUCAAAUGAAAUCAGAACAACCUUAGUAGAUCAUGUCCUCAACCAUGGGCUGACAAUGAGUGAGGCUGGACAGAGAGUGCAGCCAAACUUGAGUCGUUUUGCUGUCGCCUCUGUCAUCCGGACCUUUAGACUGGAGAACAGGACUGAGAGACGACACCGUGGUGGAGGAAGGGGCUAAAUGUUCACUGGGGUACAGGAAGCUGCCAUUGUAAACUUGGUUUUGGAAAAUAAUGAAAUCAGAUUACGAGAAAUUCAAAGCCACAUCAUCCAAGACAACACCUUAUUCAACAACAUUCAACGAGUCAGUCUGUCCACGUUGGCUCACAUUCUCAAGUGCCAAAUCUCAAAACCAAAUCAGAAUGAAACAACUUUAUAAGGUGUCGUUUGAGAGAAACUCUCAAAGAAACAAAGAGUUCAGACGAGCAUACUGUAUGUGGAUGGAGUACUGGAAAUGGAUGCUCAUGCAAUCCCACAUGAGUUCAUCUUUAUAGAUGAGGCUGGGUUGAACCUAGCAAAGACCAGAAGAAAUGGGAGAAACAUCAUUGGCCACAGAGCCAUUAUAGAUGUUUCUGGCCAACGUGGUGGGAACAUCACAAUGUGCGCUGCCAUCUCCAGCAUGCAUGGUGUCCUACACCGUCAUGCCAACCUUGGACCAUACAACACAGCCCAUAUUCUCACAUUUCUGGACAGACUUCACAACAUUCUCAUACCACCAGAGUGUAUUAAUGAUGCAGACCAUCAAAGAAACCGGUACAUUGUAGUAUGGGACAACGUGAGCUUUCUUCGUGCAGCCCCAGUCCAAAGCUGGUUUGCUGACCACCCAACAUUUUUUGUGCAAUACCUCCCACCAUACUCACCAUUUCUGAACCCCAUAGAAGAGUUCUUUUUGGCAUGGCAGUGGGAG